UACGUAGGGCGCAAGCGUUGUCCGGAAUUAUUGGGCGUAAAGAGCUCGUAGGCGGCCUGUUGCGUCCGCUGUGAAAUCCCGGGGCUCAACCCCGGGCCUGCAGUGGAUACGGGCUGGCUAGAGGCAGGCAGGGGAGAACGAAAUUCCUGGUGUAGCGGUGAAAUGCGCAGAUAUCAGGAGGAACACCGGUGGCGAAGGCGGUUCUCUGGGGCUGUACUGACGCUGAGGAGCGAAAGCGUGGGGAGCGAUCCGG
rnacentral:rRNA from 1 species